rnacentral:rRNA from 1 species
AUUGAACGCUGGCGGCAUGCCUUACACAUGCAAGUCGAACGGUAACAGGUCUUCGGAUGCUGACGAGUGGCGAACGGGUGAGUAAUACAUCGGAACGUGCCUAGUAGUGGGGGAUAACUACUCGAAAGAGUGGCUAAUACCGCAUGAGAUCUACGGAUGAAAGCAGGGGAUCGCAAGACCUUGUGCUACUAGAGCGGCCGAUGGCAGAUUAGGUAGUUGGUGGGAUGAAAGCUUACCAAGCCGACGAUCUGUAGCUGGUCUGAGAGGACGAUCAGCCACACUGGGACUGAGACACGGCCCAGACUCCUACGGGAGGGAGCAGUGGGGAAUUUUGGACAAUGGGCGAAAGCCUGAUCCAGCAAUGCCGCGUGAAGGAUGAAGGCCUUCGGGUUGUAAACUGCUUUUGUACGGAACGAAAAGCCCCGGGUUAAUACCCUGGGGUCAUGACGGUACCGUAAGAAUAAGCACCGGCUAACUACGUGCCAGCCGCCGCCGUAA